AAGAAUAAAAAUAGAAAAUAUCAAUUAAUCGGAAAAGGAGAUAGAUAUUAUUCUCUGUUCCUAUUGGUGGAUAUUUUCUAUUUUUUAUUCCUAUUGCCUGUUACCUAGUAUUGUGCAAGGGCUUUUAGUAACAAAAUUCUAUCAUUUUCACUCCACGACUACGCGGUAAUUCAAAAUUUAUAAGGAUAUAUUUAUCUCCGCCGCCUUUUCCGCUAGUGCGCACUUGUGCAGGGAAGAAGAGAUCCGACACGUGUGUCAUCGUGUGUGUCCUGUGUGUUAGUCUUUUUACGCAAUGUCUAAUAAAGUGCAAUUUCAAUCAGAGCAAUCUGUCACAGGUACUUAUAUAUAUAU